rnacentral:sRNA from 1 species
UAAUAGCCUGACCUCGUCACCCGAAAUA